rnacentral:lncRNA from 1 species
AAUCAUCUUUCUCCCUCAGACCUAGUCGGCCGGAAGAACCGGCUUGUGUCUCCCGAAGCUGCCUUCGGAAACCCGCAGAUAGCGGGGUAAGGACACCGCUUUGAAGCGGGGUGGGAGGCCGCUGAGAGCCGACGUCCUGGCUGGGAGCCGCUUGCCGGCCUUGCGCAGGCGUUCUAGGAGGAAGGUCGGUCCGCCUUAGCCAAUGAGCAUGGUUCGUGCGGCCUGCCGGCUCCAAGUGUCGGGGCGUCCAAGCACGAACCCAGGCCUCUGAGACAGUGGGCCAGACCUGUCAGGAGCUCCCUGCAGAGCGAAAGUUGCCCAGGGACUCCACACUUGCCACACAGGCCUUGGCCUGUGCGUGCUGAGGCGUAGGCGAGGCUGUCAGAUGGGAGCUGGGUUUAGGCUGCUGCUGGGAGAGCCUUGAGGCUGGUGGGGCCCUGGGAGGAGCUGCACCCCAAGUUGCGGACCUGUCCAUUCACCUCUAGACCUGUAAUCAAACUUAUGGCUAAGUAGACUCUCAGAGGGGAGUCUGAGGCGUAGAUUACUCAAGUGCACUUCACCACUAAAGAGCUUAAGGAGUGUGCUAAUUCAUUCAAGACAUCUGUGGAAUGUGUGUGUGCGAAUGGGUUUAAGAUUGUAGGAUAAUGGUAAAAGGAAACAGGAUCAGGCUGAAUUUUAUCAGUUUGAGACCACCGAUUGGAGAUUCCAGAUUUAAUGUGGAGUUCAUAUAGUUUUAAAAAGGUGUCAAAGUUUGGUUGGCUGGUUGGUUGGUUAGAUUUGUCUACAGAUGGCCUACUGAAAAGGAACUGGAGAUGCCUGCCAUCCCUUGGCUUAGUGUUGAUGAAGGAGUUUUAAGCUCAGGGAAAUUGCAGUGCUAGAGUGGGUACUCUCUGAAAAACCUGAUCCCUCAUAAUGGAAAGGCCCAGAAGACAUGCCCUACACUAACCUAUAAGAUGAAAAUGGUUUGAGGGGGCAACAGCAGGUCCGAAGAGUUUUUGUCGUAAUUUUUUCUCUUGUGCCAGAUCUUAGGGUUCAGUGGGUGUAAUUGGACCUUGGAGUAGCACCAGUGCCUGUAUAUAUUAGGUCAGGCUGGGCCAGAAGUGCCUGAAUCCUUCUUGAAACUGUAGAGUUUGUAGUUAUGAUUUAACUCUCCAGCAAGAUACAAAAGGAAAGCUAAAGAAUUUGUUAUCUAGCCAGGCGAUGGUGGAGUGUCAUUAAUCCCAGCAAUGGGAGGCAACAGGAGGCAGAGACAGUUGGAUCUCUGUGAGUUCAAGGCCAGCAUGGUCUACAGAAUGAGGUCCAGGACAGCUAGGGGUGUUACACAGAGAAACUUUGUCUCCAAAAACAAACAAAUGGAACUUGUUAUCAUUGAUAUGUCUAAUACUGUCUCCUGGUUUUGCUCUGGUUGUUUACUUGGUUCCCUACUCUAAGUAGAAAGCCUAAAAGCAUUUUUUUUUUUUUAAAUCCUGGUCUCUGGGUGAGAGGGUGCAUGCUUUUAAUCCCAGUACUCCAGAGGCAGAAGCAGGUAGAUCUCUCUGAGUUGGAUGCCAGCCAAGUCUACAAAGUGAUAUCCUGUCUCC